rnacentral:tRNA from 1 species
GCCUGGGUGGCUCAGUCGGUUGAGCGUCUGACUUCAGCUCAGGUCAUGAUCUCGUGGUUUGUGAGUUCAAGCCCCGCGUCGGGUG